rnacentral:rRNA from 1 species
CACGGCGAGUGAACAGGGAGAAGCCCAAAUUUGUAAUCUGGCACUUUUUACAGGUGUCCGAGUUGUAAUUUGUAGAACUGCUAUCCGUACUGGACCAUGUACAAGUCUGUUGAAAAGCAGCAUCAUUGAAGGUGAAAAUCCUGUAGAUGAUAUGGACUACCAGUAUAUUUGUGAUGCGGUUUCUAAGAGUCGAGUUGUUUGGGAAUGCAGCUCAAAGUGGGUGGUAAAUUCCAUCUAAGGCUAAAUAUGAGUGAGAGACCGAUAGCAUACAAGUACCGUGAGGGAAAGAUGAAAAGGACUUUGAAAAUAGAGUUAACAGUACGUGAAAUUGCUGAAAGGGAAACGUUUGAAGUUAGUUUUGUAUUCGUUGGAUCAGCUUCGCAAGGAGUGUAUUCCGAUGAUAGGCAAGUCAACAUCAAUCUAUGAGUGUUGGAUAAGGGUUUUGAGAACGUAGCAAUUCAGUUGUGUUAUAGCUCGAGACUUGGAUACGAUGCUUUGGAUUGAGGAACGCGUAGUAAGCUUUGAGCGGAUUCGAAAGGAUCUCCUUACUAUGGAUGUUGGUGAAAUAACUUUAAGCGACCCGUCUU